rnacentral:misc_RNA from 1 species
CCAAUAGCGUAUAUUAAAGUUGUUGCAGUUAAAAAGCUCGUAGUUGAAUUUCGGGAUCAGUACGUUGGUCAUGCCUUGGUAUGUACUGGUGUAACUGAUUCCUCCCUUCUGACGAACCGUCAUGCCAUUCACUUGGUGUGGCGGGAAAUCAGGACUGUUACUUUGAAAAAAUUAGAGUGUUUAAAGCAGGCUCGCGCUUGAAUACAUUAGCAUGGAAUAAUGAAAUAGGACGUUAAUCCUAUUUUGUUGGUUUCUAGGAUCGACGUAAUGAUUAAUAGGGAUAGUUGGGGGCAUUAGUAUUCAAUUGUCAGAGGUGAAAUUCUUGGAUUUAUUGAAGACGAACUACUGCGAAAGCAUUUGCCAAGGAUGUUUUCAUUAAUCAAGAACGAAAGUUAGGGGAUCGAAGACGAUCAGAUACCGUCGUAGUCUUAACCAUAAACUAUGCCGACUAGGGAUCGGAUGAUGUUAUUUUUUAAUGACUCAUUCGGCACCUUAC